CAGCUCUGGUUACGGAAGUAUAGCAGGAAUUGAAGUGUGUGUCAAUGGAGAUUGCCACCAUAUUACCACCAAAAUACAAAACCACGUGAUUUAGCAGAGCAUGUUACCAAACUUCCUUGAGAAUCUACUAAAGGAGACUGGGACGUCUGUUGAGGCUGGCAUGAGUCUUCAGUAUGACUAAGACAACAUAGGAGGUCCAGCCUACAAAUCCCAUCACCACACUGCAACCCAGGAAGAACCGGUCAUAGGUGUGGUAGUAGACCAGGCCCUCCAGAGCAUGGGAUAUCAGAGACUGGCACAAAGAGAUCUGACACGAGACAAACAGGAAAUGAAAGAAAGUGCUUUAGCAAUAGCAAACAUGUCAUGGAGAAAGUGGAAAGAAGGUUAAUCAACAAGGAAUGUAAAGAAACAAAGAAAUGAGAAACUUGGAAGGAAAAUUAUCAUUCAAACCCCAAAAAGGCAGAGACGCUGUAUGUUAGUUACCACUGCAACAUCAGCUGCCACAACAUACUUCAUCAACGUACCUUUAGUGCUAAUGUGAACACCACGUUUGUGGAUUUAAGUACCCAGAAUAAAUCACAAAUUUGACUUUA